UUUGCAGUUAAUACUUCACAAUUUGUCACUACUUUGUAUCCGUGAAGUGUUAAAAUGUCACCGAGGGCUCAUGGUAAAAAAUAAAUAAAUUAAAAAAAAAAAUAGUGAAAAAAAGUACAAAAAUGGACAAAACAAUAAAUGUGCAGAUAUUUACAUUAUAAACUUUGCAAAGAAGCACUAUUAUUUGACAGAUUUUUCCUGAUUUGUUAGAGGGAUGCAAUAUGCCUGAAGAUUGAACCCAGAGAGCAGUACAUCUUUGUAUUAUUUAUAUGAAUGCAAAAUAUAAAACUAAUAACAUAUAUUCUAAAAUUAUGAUGAAAAAUCCCACUUUCAUGAAAUUGGCUAAAACCUUUAUAUAUGUAUUCUGCAUUUAAUUACAGAUUAUUAUUGUCAUUUUUUGAACAGUUGUACUUUAUUUAGGAAAGAAUAAAAAGCACGGUAUAAAUAUUAGCAUGCAUUGUCUGUAAAAAUAUAAUACAUUUGGUGGCAUUCCAUAAAACUAAAAAUAACUCUUGCAAUACAUUAGUGUCUGUAAUUUUACAGAGCUGCAAUCAUUUUUCUGUUAUUUUCUCUAAAAAGUCUUCCUUUUAUUUACAGUGCAGACAUUGGUUCUGUUUGGACUGACAUGCAGCAAAAAUGCUAAAGGGAUUACAGCAUGCUGGCACAAAGUCUUUCAGCCAUGUUGUUUAGCCGUCUCUCUCACAUGUCUGGUGGAACAGAAACGCAUUUGUUCCAAUCAAUCCAGCUGUAGUCACACUAUACACCCAUAAAUUUUUCAUGCUUAUUUGUUCUCUGCUCUGGCAAACUAUGGUUCAGUACUGGGCCUGAAGCCCUCCUGUGUAGGUACAGAUGAAACACAAUGUGCUGUGCAGACAGUGUGGACAGCUUUAAUUAUAGCUCACUGGGAGCAUGAGUGUACUAGUCUGCCUCAGAUCAUGUCAUAUCUAAUAAGCAAACUUGACUUUUUGCGUAGAGUUUAUCCUCUGAAGAGCAUGAAUGGGCUUUUCUUGUGCACAAAUGGGAUUUUUAGUCAGAUGUUGUGCUGGAGAGUAGGCGGUAGGUACAAUAUUUUUGCCUGACAUCAUGGCCAGACACUGACCUAGACUGAUUCAUGUAGGCCCCAGCCCAGCUAAGGGCUGACACUUUGCAAACUUUCUUUAUCCUGAACCCAACUUGAACCUACACCCACUGUCCUAUUACCAGAGUGCUAUUCAUUUGAUUUUGUCUCCGUUCCUUUAGGCUUCUCUCACUCUCUCCCACCUAAUUCACACAUACCCUCAGACACUGCAGGUGCAGACACUUGACCUUUUGACCUUUCCAGAGCUUCCACAAUUCAGAUUUCCUAGGAAACUAGACAUUUAUCUAUUGUAAUCUUUAUAUUCACCAACAGCAGAGCAAACUGAUAACACUGACAUCGCCUGAUAGUAAAACAAAGUUGCAAUGAUGGAUGUAAUUGGCACAUUAUUGUAAAACUAUAUCUGCAAAAAGAAAUCAUAGCUAUCAGGCACUCUGCUAUUGAUACAGCUUUACAAAUGAGUGAGCAUCGUGACAUGCAGAGACAUAAUAUUACCUGCAUUGUGCUGAGCAAUUCAUCUUAAAGAUAUGUGAGAUUUAAAUGUCUCAUGGCUUUUUCACCACAUUUUGUAUGGAGAGAAUUUUGUUUCUUUGUUAUUCAAUCAAUCAAAAAAGGUUAUGCAACCAAAAAAGAGACUUGAGACCAAAAAACAUAAAGUUGCAAUCAAAAAAAUAAAAGAUCAAUCAAAUAGAAUAGAUCUGAGACCAAAAAAAAAUAACUGGCAACCCCCCCAAAAAAUUUUUGAGAUCAAAACAGAACAGGUUGCAAAUAAAAAUAUAGUAAUUUGAGAACAUAUUGACUUAAAUUCAAUCAAAACUAAUAUUUUUUGCUUGCAAGUUCAAAAGUUUUGCUUGCAAGUUCAAAAGUUUAGUUGUGAAUUCUAAAGUUUUGGUUGCGAAUUCUAAAGUUUUGCUUGCAAGCUCAAAGGUUUUGGUUGCGAAUCUGACUGAACCAAAUGGGCGGGGCCAAUGCUGGUGGAAGAGACAAGAGUUCCUAUUAGUCGGUUUGACCUUGCUCCACUGCCAGUCAUCGCCGCUCCCCUCUGUGCUGUUGCUGGCUGCUUCCGCACAAGCUUCACUCCUAUGAGGACAUCAGGACAGGACAGGGUGUAGUCGCCAAAUAUUGUUCAUAUUCCAUCAGUGUCCUACACUUGUCAAUAAAAUAAUUGUUCACUGAGAAAA